CAACAUUUGGGCCGACACCCUUCUUCAAGCCUGAGGAGGGGGGGAAGAUGUCAGAAUAAAAGGGUAGGGGGAAGGGAUGGAGGCUAGCUGGAAAGGUGAUUGAUGAAGACAGUUGAGUGGGAAAGGUCAAGGGCUGGAGAAGAAAGAAUUUGAUAGGACAGGAGAGUGGACCGCAGGAGAAAGGGAAGGAGGAUGGGACUCAGGGGAAAAUAAUAGGCAGGUGAGAUGUAGUAAAAGGUCAAAAUGGGAAAUAGAGGAAGGGGGGUUUAAUUUGUUUACCAGAAGGAGAAAUCGAUACUCACGCCAUCAAGUUGGAGGGUAACCAGACUGAUUAUAAAGUGCUGCUCCUCCUCCAUGAGGGAGCCUCAUCUUGGCACAAGAGAAGGCCAGUCCCCUCCUCCUUCCCUUUCUCCACUCUCCCCUCCAUUCAGACUCUCUCCAUCCCUUGACCUUUUCCACCUAGACGGUUUCACCUGUCACUUUCCAGCUCGCCUCUUUCCCCACCCCCAAACCUUUUUAUUUAGGCGUCUCCCCCCUCCCUUCCCAGUCCUGAAGAAGGGUCCCGGCCCGAAACGUCGACCGUUUACUCCUUUCCACAGACGCUGCCAGGCCUGCUGAGCUCCUCCAGCAUUUUGUGUGUGUUAUCAGCAUUUAACAGUGGCACCCUGAACCAGCUGGCAAGUUACAAAUUUCUGGCUGAUCCCCGGUGCCUGGCAAAAAUACCAGCCUAACCAUCUUCAAUAUCUUCUGUCAGCUUCAGGAAAAACACUGCACUUGGGAAUUAAUUGCAUACUAAACUGACUGCAGAAAGGCAAGACUGGCACUAAACAAGGAUCCUUUUAAUGAGAAAUUUAUACUCCUGCAAUGAAACUCUGUGCGAGCAAUCCCAGUCAUAUAAAAUAAAGCAGUGAUUAGCGCUUUGGAUUUAAUCCAGAAACCUAUAUCAAAAUAAAAAUAACUCAAUUAACUUCUGCCUUUCAGCCUGUGGAGACUGCUGUGCUUCUCGAUUUUGGACGGAGGAGAAGAAAACAAGUGGAGAUCAGACAAUUCUGCCCCUCCAGCCUGUCUGGGAUUCAGCAUGAAAUGAUUGAUUACCAUCUUCCCACACGGCCCCUAAAUGCACUCAUUCCUUUUGCUGUUGAGGAUCUUUGUUUCGAGUGAAUUCAUCGUCACGGCCUCCGGGUAGAGAACUCCAAAGGUUCACUGGACUCUGACUGAAGAUGUCGCUCCUCCUAGUGUUGAGCGGCCAGUUUCCGAGAUCCUAACCCUCUAAAACUUCACUUCUUGACUUCCUUAUCGGGAGACCUCGUUUGGUGCAUCUCCACCUCGCUGACGAUCAACACAAGCACAUCUUAAGGACCAGUGCUUAGCCCACUGUCCUACUCUCUUUGACUCGUGACUGGCUAGGCAGAGCUCAAACAUUAUCAAUAAAUUCAUUGACACCAUCAUUUUUGAUUGGCAAAAUCUCAGAUACUGCCAUUAGGGAGGAGCUACAGGAGCCUGGAGAAUCACACUCAACAUUUUAAGAACAGCUUCUUCACCUCGCCUUCACAUUUCUAACCGGUCCAUGAACACUACUUUGUUAUUCCUCUAUUGCAUUACAGUCGGCCCUCCUUAUCCGCAGGGGAUUGGUUCUGGGACCCCUCGCGGAUACCAAGAUUCGCGGAUGCUCAAGUCCCUUAUUCAACCUGUCUCAAUCCGUUGGACCUUAGGACCCAGCGGAACCCCAGACCUUAUUUAACCUGUCUCACAGCGGUGGACAUUAGGACCCGGCACCAGAGCUCUGAAUGUGCAGUGUUUCUGUUCACGAAAAUAACCACAAUCACGAUUGAAAAUAAAGUGGAAAUAAUAAAGUGAUCAGAAAGAGGUGAAACGCCAUCGGUCAUUGGAAAAGCGUUAGGCUACGUCGGUCAACGAUUGGAACAAUUUUAAAGGAUAAAGUGAGAAGGGCCUUGCCCAGAUGAAAGCUACAAUUAUUACUAAGCAAUGCAGUGGUUUAAUUAUUAAGUUUUGAGUUUUUGAUCCUCCACAUCAACCCAGCACAGUGGAGAGCGCACUCGGGAGCGAUCUGUCCCGAGUCCCGAGAACUUCGGUUAUGAAGCCCGGCGCUGAAACAUACGUUCGUAAGUGUUUUAUAUGCAUAGAAAGAGUUGGAGUGUUCUUUAGUCUUCAUGGUGUAGAUUUUGCCAGGAUACUGACUCACCAACAGUUGGACCUUCCAGAAACAGAUCAAACUCUCCCAGUCCAUCCAUACGUGGCCGGGUCCCAACAUUUGCGAGAUGGUGCUUAUGCUCAGUCAAAUUUGGCAAGCAAAAGUCAAUGAGAAGAAAUGGGUAAGGUGAAGCUUAUACCCUGUAUGUGAUUGAGGAGAGCAUUUGAGAGACAACAAAACCAACUGGAAAUUAAGACUAUGAAGAUGAAGUUACAGGAAAACCUGGGACCAAGUAUUAUUACAGAACACCGGAAUGAAAGCAGAAAAAGAUGGGAUUUCUCAGCAGGUGAGUUAAUACUAGCAGAGGUAGUGUGCAGUGGUGCUUCACUGGUCCUUGGUACAAUCCUAACCCUGGAUGCUGUCUGUGUGGAGUUUGCAUGUCCUCACUAGGACCAAGUGGGUUUUGUCUGGGUGCUCCUGUUUCCUUUCACAUUCCAGAGGCGUUCAGGUCUGUUGACUAAUUAUUCACUGCGAAUUUUCCUUAGGGUGUGGGUGAGUGGCAGAAUUGGGCAUGGGGGGGGUGCAGUUGAUGGAAAUGUGGCGACAAUAAAGUGGGAUCAAAGUAAAUGGGCGGUUGAUAGUCAGCAAAGAUUUGAUGGGCCAAAGGGUCUACUUCUGUGUUGUGUGACUGUCAAUAGAAUUAGUGUAUCAGUUAUACACCACAGAAUCAGGCCCUUCAACCCAACUUGCCGAUCAGCUCACAUUUGACCCUUAAAUGAUAUUAUUCCUAUUGUUGAGCCAACAUAAAAAUCCCCACGGAUUUUAUUAAGUGUCUGUGCUUUCUUCCCCUGUAGGUUGCAGAAAUACAGCUGGAAAUUGUACGUGAUGGGGUGUGACACAUACAGCAUUUCCCUGAAAGCAAUCCUGACUUGUGCAACUUCUCUCCAAGGGAAGGUCUCGCUCCCCUCUCAUCUGGGCAGGGACGUAGAAAGAAAUGGAUUGCUUCUGCUUGCCUCCCCACAUGAAUUUCACCAACCCUAAGCAGCAGGCACAGAGGGCUCAAUUCCCAACACCCACAAAAUGCUGGAACUCAGCUGGUCAGGCAGCAUCUAUGGAAAUGAAUAAUCUGUUGAUUUCUCAGGCCAAGACCCUUCAUCAGGACUGGAAAGGAAGGAGGAAGGUGGUGGGGGUAGGGGAAGGAGUACAAACUAGAAAAUGAUAGGUGAAGCCAGAGGAGUGGGGAAAGGGGGAUGAAGUAAGAAGCGGGUUGAAAAGGUAAAGGGCUGGAAAAGAAGGAAUCUGAUAGGAGAAGAGAGUGGACCAUGGGAGAAAGGGGAGCAGGAGAGACAUCAGGAGGUGGUGACAGGCAGAAGAGGUGAGAAAGGGGCCAGAGUAAGGAAGGUGGAAGGGGGAAGGAAGUGGAGACAUCAAUAUUCAUACCACCCUGUUGGAGGCUAUCUAGAUGGAAUAUAACAUGUUGCUCCCCAAACCUGAGAGUAGCCUCAUUGUGGCAGUAGAGGUGGACGUGGACUGAUAUGUUGGACAGAGAAUGGGGAUCAAAAUUAAAAUUGUUGCUUACUGGGAAAUCCUAAUUUUUGCAGAUGGAGCAAAGUUCUGUAUUUAAUAUUUCAGUAAAAUUUGAGUAAUAUUAUAAAUAUAUUGUUGGAUUAAGCAUAUUUUGUUGUUGCACAUGGCAUUGCAGAUUAUAUGUGAAAGCACGUAAAUGGCAUACGUAAUUAUUACACCACAUCAUAUGUGCGCAUCUUGCUUAAAGCAAAAACAAAGUUAGACUCGCACUUCCGGACUCCCUUGUUUUCCUUCCAAGAAGCUUAUGUUUUGGAGCUAAAAUAUGUAACAUCCCCCAUUCGGGUCUCAGCAAUGUAGAGGUGGUCAGAUUGGGGGCACCAAACACAGCAAACAACCCCAACAGAUUCGCAGGUGAAGUGCUGCCUCACCUGGAGGGCUGUUUUGGGUCCUGAAUGGAGGAAGAAGAGGCAGUAAAUGGGCAGGUGUAGCACACUUUUCCACUUGCAGGGAUAAGUGCCAAGAGGGAGAUUAGUGGGCUGAGAUGAAUGGAUAAGGAGUGAUGCCUGUGGAAGAGGUAAAUGUAUGUUUGAUGGUAGGGUCCUGUUGAAGAUGGCGAAAGUUGUGGAGAAUGAGAUGCUAUAUGUGGAGGGGUGGUUGUAAGGACAAGAGGAACUCUAUCCCCGUUAAGACAGCGGAAGAUGGGACAAGGUCUGAUGUCCAGAAAAAGGAGGAGGAGAUGGGGAUGGGGGCAGUACCAGUAGUAGGAGAAGGGAAACCCGACUCUUCGAAGGAGGAGGACAUCUCUGACAUUCUGGAAAGGAAAGCCUCGUCCUGAAAACAGAUGCAACAGUGAUGAAGGAAAUGAGACAAGAGGAUGGCAUUUUUCCAGGAGACAUGGUGGGAAAAGGCAUAAUCAAGAUAGCCAUGGGAGUCAGUAGGUUUAUAAAUGAUAUCAGCAGUUUUGUCUGCAGAGAUGGAGACAGAAGGUUCAAGAAAGGGUAGGGAAGUGUUGGAAAUGGCCCAAGUGAACUUAAGGGCAAGGUGGAAAUUGGAGGCAAAGUUGAUUAAAUUGACGAGCUCAGCAUGAGUGCACGAAGCAGCAUCAAUGCAGUCAUAAAUAUAGCACAGAAAGAGUUAGAUCCACAUAACCAACGAAAAGCAAGUAUAGCUAGGGCCCUUGUGGGUGUCCAUGGCUGCAGCUCGAGUUGCAGAAAGUGUGAGGAGUUGAAAGAGAAAUUGUUGAGGGUGAGGACCAAUUCCACCAGGCAGAGGAGUGCAGUGGUGAAGGGAAACUGGUUGGGUCUAUUGUUGAGAAAGAGGCAGAGAGCUUUAAGGCCUUCUUGAUAGAGGAUAGGAUAGAAGUGUAUAGGGACUGGACAUCUAUUGCAGUGAAAAUGAGGCAUCAGGGCCAGGAAUCAGAAGUUGUUGAGGAGAUCAAGAGCAUAUGAAGAGUUGCGGAUGUAGGUGGGAAGGGGCUGAACGAAGGGGGAUAGAAUGAAGCAGAGGUAUGCUGACACAAAUUCAGUGCGGCAGGAGCAGGCUGACCCAGACAGUCAGGUUUGUGUAUCUUGGGCAGGAGAUAAAAAUGAGCUGUGUUGGUUGAGUUUGGUGGCAGUGGAUGGGAGAUCUCCUGAGUUCAUAGUGUCAGAAAUAGUUCUCUGUUGGUCCUCUUCAAGAGGCAGGUAUGAAGAGGUGUCUGAGAGUUGUUGCCUGGACUUAGCAAGGUAGAGGUCAGUCCACCACACUACAACAGCAUUCCCUUUGGCUUGCUGGCUUGAUGGUGAGGUUGGGAUUGGUGCAGAGAAAGUAGAGGGCAGUGCAUUCAGGGUAAAGUUCCAGGAGGAGAGACGGGUGCUGAAGUUGAGAUGGUUGAUGCCCUAUCUGGCCAUUAAAGAUGAAAAGACCCAGAGCAGGCAGAAAACCAGAGUGAGGGGUCCAAGAAGAGGAAGAGAGUUGGAGAUGGGAGAAGGGGUCAUCAAUGUGGGGUGGAGAAUUCUUGCCAAAAAAGUGAGCUCAGUGAUGGAGGUGACGGAAGAAGAGCUCAUGUCAUGACGAAUGUGGGACUCACUGAGGUGUGGGUGAAGGGGAUAAAAGUAAGGCCUUUGCUGAGGACAGAAAGUUCUGCUUCAGAGAAAGAAAUGGAGAAGUGGCAAGGAUUCGAGCUGGGAUCAGAGGGGGAAAUGAGUUGGUGGCAGCAGAGGAGAAAGGAAGAUCGGGGUGUUUAAGGAAGGUAGUGUGCAAGAAAGAUGAAGGCUCUGAGGACCCAAGAGGAGACGGGGAAAGCCCCAGAGACCCGGGGUUGGGGAGUAGAGGUGGGGGAAAGGGAAGCCCAGGAGCACAGUGACAGUGAGUGGUUUUGGUCUGGAGGUAGAGGAGGUUGAUGUCAGGCUGGAGUUGGAGCUGGAGGCUGCUUAAUUCACGGUCUGAGUGUCACCAGGGUAUUUGGAACUGGAGUUGGCAAUGAUGGAAUCUACAGUCUGCAGAAGUCCAGGUCUGUUGGAACUGGAGAUGCCGACAGUAAGAUUUGUAAUAUGGAGGCGUCUGACUGAUUCAAGAUCCCCUGCGGCAGGGGCCACAGUCUGAAGACACAGUCUGCUAGGAAGGAGAUGAGUUGGUGGUUCAAGAUGAAAGGUCAAAGUGGUCAAAGACAGACAGUGGAGAGUGAGGCUGCAGCACCACCCAGUCUAGUCCCCCCCAUCAGGCAGCUUCCACAAGGCAUAACAUUUUAUUCCUGAUGAAGGGUCUCGGCCUGAAACGUUGAUUGCUCAUUUCAACGGAUGCUGACCAACCUGCUGAGUUCAUCCAGCUUGUUUGUACGUGUUGAUUUGACCACAGCAUCUGCAGUGUACUUUGUGUUUAGUGUUUUAUUCCUGAUCUGCUGUGCAUCUACUUAUUCCCAUUCCCUCAUCCGCUGUUAUUUCCAGAUUGAACCUGUCCAGUGCCCUGGCACAGGUCACAGCCAAGUCUCCGAAGUGGUGGGGAAGAAGCAACAUGCACACAUUGCACCCAGAAAAUGAGACCCAGAGACAAUCGCAACUUGAUCAUCAGUAGUUAUUAGGCUGAGGACCCAGCGUAGAGUAAUGGGGUUCUCAGGACCACAGGCAGGAGUCGUCAUCACCUCCAGCAAGGACAAAGGCUGUACAUUCCAAGCACCAAAUAAAGUAUGAACUGAAGCAACAAUUACUGGAUUAUAGACUCUGGAAGGAGAGAGAGGGACUGCAAAAGAGACAGAGAGACAGAAGAUAUAGAGAGAGCAUUGAGAGAGACAGAGAGGGGUACAGACAGAGGUAGGGAGAGGUAUACAAAAAGAUAGAGAAGGGUACACAGAGAGACAAAGAGAGGCAACAAUCUCUGUGGAUAAGUGAUAAUAUCUCCUCCUCGCUGACAAUCAACACUGGUGCACCUCAGGGGUGUGUGCUUAGCCUACUACUCUACUCUCUCUAUACCCAUGACCGUGUGGCUAGGCAUAGCUCAAACACCAUCUAUAAAUUUGCUGAUGAUACAACUAUUGUUCUAGAAUCUCAGAUGGAGACAAGAGGACGUACAGGAGCAAGAUAUGUCAACUAGUGGAGUUGUGUCACAACAACAACCUUGCACUCAACUUCAGUAAGACAAUCUGAUUGUGGACUUCUGGAAGGGUAAAAUGAAGAAACAUAUACCAAUCCUCAUAGGGGGAUCAGAAAUGGAGUGAGUGAACAGUUUUAAGUUCCUGGGUGUCAGGAUCUCUAAGGACCUAACCUGGUCCCAACUUACCAAUGCAGCUAUAAAAGGCGGCAAGACAGUAACUAUACUUCAUUAGGAGUUUGAAGAGAUUUGGCACGUCAACAAAAGCACUCAAAAACUUCUAUAGACAUACAGUGAAGAGCAUUCUGACAGGCUGCAUCACUGUCUGGUGUGGGGGGAGAGGGCUGAUGCACAGGACCGAAACAAGCUGCAGAGGAUUGUAAAUUUAGUCGGCUCCAUCUUGAGUACUAGCCUACAAAGUACCUGGACAUCUUCAAGGAGCGGUGUCUCAGAAAGGCAGCAUCCAUUAUUAAGUACCUCCAGCACCCAGGGCAUGCCCUUUUCUCACUGUUACCAUCAGGUAGGAGGUACAGAAGCCUGAAGGCACACACUCAGCGAUUCAGGAACCAGCUUCUUCCCCUCUGCCAUCCAUCUGUAUUAUGUAUGGCACUGAGGAUCCCUCAGGAACAGCUUCUUCCCCUCUGCCAUCUGAUUCCUAAACGGACAUUGCACCCAUGAACACUACCUCACUUUUUUAGUAUACAGGUAUAUUAUUUCUGCUGUUGCAUGACUCUUAAUCUAUUCAAUAUACAUAUACUGUAAUUUAUUUAUUUUCUUCUAGAUUAUGUAUUGCAUUGAACUGCUGCUUCAAAGUUAACAAAUUUCACGACACAUGUCGGUGAUAAUAAAUCUAAUUCUGAUUCAGAUUCAAACUCAGAGAGGUAGAGAGAGGGAGAGGCAGAGCACUCAGCAGGACAGGCAGCAUCUGGACAGUGAGAAACAGGUAAUGCUUCAAUUUUGUUAGAACUUCUCUGGGACAGAGAAUCACUUCUGUAGAUACCAUAAACACAGCUGGUAUAUAUAUGUACAAUGUACUGUGUAUGUUAAUCAAAAUGGCUUCUUUUUUUUGUUAAGAGUAGGAAUGCUUCUUUGUAUGAUAAGUGCUUUCUCUCGCAGUUGUUUGGCUUUAGACUUGCUGAUAUCGGGAUUGUAUUCAUUUGUUGACCAAUGGAGAAUGUUAUUUUGUCUUGUGAGGCUGGGAGCUUGAGGGUUUUCGCGGUCUUUUCAGGGGAGUCGGGAAGAAGACGCCGAGGAAGGUGGACAUGCGCUGCACUGCUUGGUCGACCACCAGGGUGGACGCAGGUGCAAGGACGUAGAGGUCGGAGGAGAGUGACGAGGGGUCGAAUGGUUCGAUGGUUGAGCUCCAACGAUGUGCACUAAACUGACUGAAUUUUGAUAAGUUGGCGCCUUUUACUUUAUUUUCUUUUCCGUCAUAUAUAUUGUAUUGCAUAGUACUCUUUCAGUUUUAGUAAAAUCUUUCAAGUAUAUUCCAUAACGGCGUCUGGUGUGAGUUUGAUAUUGUGUGGUACGCGCGGCAUAAACUUGUUUCUCACAGCACCUGUGUGUACGGGAGGUGGGGUUGGAUAGUGGCUGGAUCUCCUUUUCCCCUAGACAUAUACCAGCCUGUUGGGUAAGUGUUACAUUUGUGGGGGCUCGUCCACGUUGGAUUGUCAGGGGCUGUGGAAUCGCGCAGGCAGCAGAGCGGAGAUGGACAGAGAUAAGAUUGUUAACUGGUGCGAGUUGGAAAAUGUACCGGUGCAGUAUGUCUGUGUAGUGAGCGGUGGAUUUUCAAGUUUCGGGAGAUACGUUAAUGCGGGGGUUAAGUUUGGUAAAAGGUAUGGGGCAGGUAGAAUUGGUAGCGAGAUGGUGUGGUAAAGAGGUGGAGUCUAGUUGGGUGUUGGUUCGUACGAGUGCUGACGUCAUGACGUUAGAACUGCCGGCGACGGUCAGUGUUCCGGGGGAGGCAGGGCCGUAAUUAUAAUACCAAUUAUAAUUAGAAGUUGCCAACGGUUUUAAUCAUAGAUCCAAACUAAUAGAACAGACAGUAACAGCACAGGAACAGGCCCUUGAUAUGUCUAUAUGUCCAUAUCUUUUCAUUUGCGGCACAUUGUUUGCCUAUCCAAGAGCCUCCAGAACACUCCUACGCUUCCACCACCACCGCUAGCAACACAUUCCAAGCACCCACCAGAGUCUGUGUAAAAACCUGUCCCUCACACCUCCUUUGAACUUACCUUAAAUGCCCUCUGGUUCACACUUCAAUACUGGGAGAAAGAUCCUGGCUACCUCCUCUGUUUAUGCUUCCCAUAAUCAAAUAAACCUCUAUCAGCCUCUUCCACUCCACAGAAAUCUACCCCAAGUUUGUCCAACCUCUCCUUAUAAAGAGGCGUCCCCUGCUUGUCCCACUAUAAGUCCUACCUCUGCCUUAGUCUAGGUAGCACCCUGUUAAACAUCUUCUGCACCCUUCCAAAAGCCCAAAAUCUUCUUAUAAUGGGGGCAACCUGAAUGAUUGCCUCAACGGUAGUUGGCAUCCACAACACCACCCAUCAGCCUCCAGUUGCUACCACUGCCCCUCCCACUUGUGGACUUGUACUACACAAGUGAUCCUUUCUCUUGGGAGUACCAACCUCUCAUCAGCGUUGGAACCUGUCAUUGACCCCAAAUGCAUCCAGCCUGGGCAACAACACUUCCCAAUUUUGUUUUCCCCAGUUAGAAGUGCACUCUUCAUUCUCAUCACCCCUUCCACCAAUCCCAGGGGUUACAUCACCCACUGUUAAUGGAUUUUCUACAGUUUCCAAGGUACUUUUACAGGAAGCCUGCCCAAAAGUUGUUGUCAAAGUAGGGACACAAGGGACCGCAGACGCUGGAAUCCGAAGCAACAAACAAGAGGUUGGAGAAACUCAGCAGGUCAGGCAGCAUCUGCGGAGGGAAAUGAAGAGCUGAAGUUUCAGGUCCGAGAUGUCGGCUGUCCAAUAGGUGCUGCCUGACCCGUUGACUUCCUCCAGCUUUUUGUGUCCUGUUCAAGAGAUGUCAAAUGGCAGAUUGAACCUACAAGGAGAGGUUGUACAAAUAUUGCUGUUCUCUCUAGAGAGCCAGAGGCUGAGGGGGAGACUUGAUCGAGGUUUAUACGACUAUGAAAGGCAUAGUUAUAGAUGAGACUGCUGGUGUCUUUUUCCCCCAGGUUCAAAAUGUCUAAUACUAAUGAUUGCUGUUCCUCUCAGCACCUUGUGGAGCAACAGGAGGCAACGCUGCUGUUCUGUAACAUUUGUCUGCUUUUUUCGAGGCCGAGUUGCUACCUCGAUCUCAACCCAGCGUGCAAGGCACCGACCGGUCAGAAUCAAACCUGGGACCACUCGCCUUGACGUCCAGUGUGGAUGCCACUGAACAACUGGCCAGCUAUUAAUUCUAAAGAGUAUGCACUUAAAGGAAGAGGGGGUAAUUCUAAAGGAGAUUUGGAGGGCAAGUGUUUUUUUUUUAAAAAACAGAAUGAUGGGUGCCUGGAAAGUGUUACCACAGGUGGUAGUGGAGGCAACUACAACAAAACUAUUUAAGAGGAUCUUAAGACAGGCAUUCGAAUCUGCAGAGAAUGGAGGGAUAUGGCAUUGUGUAGGGAGGAAGGAUUGGUUUAGUUAGAUAAUUAAUUAGUAAUCCUGCACAACAUCAUGGGCCGAAGGGCCUGUUCCUGUGCUGUACUGUUCUAUGUCCUCUGACAGGUCAGCAAAUACACUUCGCCAGCAGACUUUACAGAGGGUCUCAAAGUUGGAGAGCGGGAGAUUGAGAGGGAUGGGGAGAGGAUUCCAGUGUUGGCAACUGUAGGUUCAGUUCCUGACUCCACCUCAUCUCGCUUCGCUCUCAUCUGCUGCCAAACUGACUGUUCUUCCCACAUUCAUUCUCUUACACACCCUCUCACACCCCCUCAUUCCAGCUUCUGCAAGUCAUCAAGUAAACACAAACCUUUCUCUCAGAACAUCCCUAGGACAGAGAACAACUUCCAGCCGAUAUGUUUAACACCACAUAAUUAAAAACUGCCAGCCACUCUGAUUAUACGCCCAAACGAAUGACUGACCUUAAAAUAGUUAUCCAACACCACCCCAUAGGUUCUGAUUUCUAAAGAUGUCUUUUCUAUUGGGAGAUUUUCAUUCUUGGCAUUUUGUCAAAUUCCACAAAUCAAAGCUGCAAUUUUGAAACCUUUAAUUUAUGGGGCUGGGUUUCACAGGACGGAGCACCCCAUCUGUUACAAUUUCCCCACAUCACAACUUCACUUCUGUGGCCUGGUCACCUCUCUGCACCUUGUGGCACACUGGGUGGCAACCAUGCCAUUUCUGUUGCAUUUGUCUGGUUGUUUUUUUUUUACGAGGCCGAGUUGCUAGCUUGCCACUCAACCAAGCACAGAUGGAAAGCAUACAAGGACACGGCCGGAUUCAAACCCGAGACCGCUCGCCUCAAAGUCCGGUGCAGGGUGCCACCGGCUGGCUAAUAGCUCGCUUAGGAGAUGGGGCCAGGUCUCCAUCACUGGGAGAUUGUGAAAACUCCACAAGGACAUGAGGGAGGUCAGGAUUGAAUCCGGGUCACUGGAGUGGUGAGCAGCACCACUACUAUCUGGGCCACCGAAAUAGAAAAUUAAAUCAAGACAAAGAGAGCUGGAAGCAGACAUGAAAAUAGCCUCGAAGCAGUGGAACCAUGGUCCACAAAUCAAACGGUAUUGGCAGCAAGCCAGCUAAUCCCUCUCCACGGGGUUAAACUUUAAAUUAAGGGGUGUCUUGGGAACACCAGGCUCUGAUUUGAGUGCACUCAAACUCCCAGGGCAUGAACUGGGAAUCCAAAUUUAGCUUUUCAAGUUUAGCCACAAAAUUACUGCUACGGAAAUAUCCUUGACGGACCUUGUCCGUUUCCAAUUAUGAAAGGAGGGGUUUUGGACGAAACGCUAUUGCAAGCUCCCAUUGGAGCCUAGUGGGGAACUGUCGGAAAGGCUAAUCCAAGGGAGUGUGCCAACUGGGUAGGGUGGGGCUGACCAAAGGAUCUGCUCUUUGUGAACACCGCUGAAAGAUUUGGUGAGAGGGGGCGUGAGCACAAAGCCAGUCGGUAGUGAGGGUCACUGUACACGCACCAAGUGCUGGAGGAUCUCGGCAAGUCAGGUGGCAUCUAUUGAGGGAAAUGAAGAGGGGAUGCUUCAAGCUGAGACCCUUCAUCAGUUCCGGAAAGGAGGAGGGCAGAAGCCAGAAUUAAAGGCUGGGUGGGGAGGGGAGGAUCACAAGCUGGCAGGCGAUAGGUGAGAGGGGAAAGGUAAGAGAAGGGGUGCAAGGCCCAGCGGAAUGAGGAAAAACAAAGAUGGUGGCAGGGGGAGAACACAGAGGGGAGCGGUUACUGGAAGUCAGAGAAAUUAUGUUCAUGCCGUCAACGUCAA